UGUCCAGGGAUGGGAAUCGAACCCACAAUGUUCCGCUUACCGGGCAGAUGCCAUGUCCACUAGGCUUUAAAUAGUGUGUGAC
rnacentral:tRNA from 1 species